GGAGGCCGGGAUGGGCAGCGGGUAAGUAGGAACGGGGUGGCGCCCCACACCCUCCCCUGCUUGUUUGGGGUGCGGCGAGGGGAGGUGCGCCUGUGCAGGGGUUCGCUGGGCUGCGGUUGUGGGUUCCCGGUGGGCGGCCGGAAACUGAGACAGGAAGCCUUGGGGUGGGGUGGGUGUGUGUGUCUGUGUCUGUCUGGUGGGGGGGCUUGGCAGGCGACGCCAAGCUCUCAAGGGCUGGGACAGGUCCUUCGUUCGCGGAGGGCACUAGUCAAGGGCACUAGUCAAGAGUACUGGAACGCGGAGGUGGCCGAGCCACACUCAGGACCGUGGGCGCCCCGGCCGCGGGGCCGCCUUGGCCCGCGCCCCCCCAGCCCCCGCGUGCUUAGCGCCGCAGCGCAGCGCCUUCGGCUGGUUUCUCCCGCCCCUGGAUGGUCCCUGUUCCCUCGGCUUCUGUCUACCACCCACCUGGAUGCCUGCAGCCGCUGGCCUCUCUCCCCCCGGGUGCUCAAAACCAGCAGCGCCCCGGAGAGGAGAAAGAGGGUCCCCCGUCCUUUGGGGCCGCGCGGGACCCGGGUGCGGGGGAUAGGCCCCCCACCAUCCGUUUCCCAAAAGUCGCCGCAGAUGUGCGGCCACCGGGAGUCACGUAGUGUGCGGCGAGCGUCGGAGCUCGGAGAGGCCUGGGCGGGGGUGACCGGGCGAAGCCAGAGUGCAGAGGCUUCUCACGAAAGGGGAAGCUCCUUGCGGGGGUGCAGCUUUCGGCCGAAAUUUAGCUCCGCAGGAGCUUGGGAUGUUUGCUGUUCUCCCCUCGCCUUUAGUUUCAUUUAUUCUCUUCCAAAGAGCAUGUUCCUUCCCCGGAUGUUGGGUGUUUUCCAUCCUCCCUCAAAAAGGAUACGCCGGGAAAGGAACAUGCAGAUCGUUGAACAUUCUUUGGUUGGAGUCUGAGGAAGGCUCAUCUUGACGCUAAGGAGACUCGCGUUUUCGGGGAGUGUAAAAUUUGCAAAAUCAGGAUGUUUCCCCGCCCCAUCUCUCUUGAAGACAACUCUCUCACUCCCCGACCCCCGAUACCAGCUGUCUGCUGCGCCAAAGCUUGAGGAGCCCAGGCCUGGAGUCUUUGGCGGUUAAGAGUACGUAGAGAGAUUUCACAAGAUUCAGCUGUGAUGGUGGUGCUUGGGGGCGAGAGAGAAAGGACUAGAAGUCCUGAGGCGGAAGGGAGUGGCUUUCGAUUGAAACAAAGCUCGAGUAGACCCCAGAGGGGAAGCCUCUGUGGCACCACCCCCUCUUUUCUGUCCCAUUCCAGCUUCUAGUCCUCCCUGGUGCUUGUAGUUAACAGUACUGUUUUAGACUUAAACAUUUUGCUAAGUGAGAUCGUGAAGUGUACUCGCCACAUGCAAGCAACAACAACAAGGCGGUGUGCGUGUGAAAGAAAACUUUUGGAGGUGAUGUGUUUUUGUGGCAUAGCUUGUGGUUUUGCCAGUGUAUGCUGAUCUCCAAACUGAUGAAGUUGCUUAUGGUAAAUAUUUAUGACUUGUUUGUGUGUCCGUCAUACCUCAAUAAAAUGGUUUUAAAAAAAAAAAGCUACCUUUGGAGUUCGUGCUGUGUUGCAGUGGGUUAAGAUUGGCAUUGCAGUGGCUUGAGUUGCUGGGGAAGCAUGGAUUUGAUCCCAUGUGGGCACAGUGGGGUAAAGGAUCUGAGGGAGCCCCAGCUGUGGCUGAGAUUCAGUCUCUGGCCUGGGAACUUCCAUAUGCAGUGGAUGCGGCCAUUAAAAAAAAGUUACAUUCAGUGGUCUAAAAACUUUCUGUAUCAAUAGUUUACAGUGUAAAUCAUAGUUACAGAAAUGAAACUUGAGACCAUAUUACUAUUUCAUUUAGAAACUUUAUUAAAAGGACUGAUUUUUCUCAGACAAGUUAUAUCCAAUGCCUUUUUUUUUUUUUAAAUUGAAGUCUGGUUGAUUUCCAAUGUUGUGUUUCUGGUAUACAGCAAGUAAUUUAUUUAUAAAAACAGACACAUAAGUACACAUACGUAUACAUCCCACCAACCUUUUUCAUAUUCUUCUCCAAUAUGUUUUUUCUUUUUUAAACUGGGAUAUUGAAUGUAAUUCCCUGAGCUAAACAGUAGGAUCUUAUUAUCUGUUUUAUGCAACUUUGUUGUUUAUCUAUUUUACAUGUAGUCCUCUGUAUCUGCUAAUCCCAAACUCCUAAUGCGUCCCUUCUCCACCCCCUUUCUCCUCUGGUAACCAUAAAUUUUCUAGGUUUGUGAGUCUGUUUCUGUUUUGCAAAUAAGGUCAUUUGUGUCAUUAAUUUAGUUUCCACAUGGCCGAGUAGUAUUCCAUAGGUAUGCACUAUGUCCUGUGUGCAUUCAUCUGUCAGUGGCCAUUUACUUUAUUUCCAGGUCUUGGUUAUUGCAGAUGGUGCUGCUAUGAACACUGGGGUGCAUUAUCUUUUCGAAUCGGAGUUUUCUUCAGAUAUGCGCCCAGGUGUGGGGUUGCUGCAUCAAAUGGUGACUCCACUUUUAGUUUUUCAAGGGACAUCCAUACCGUUGUUCUCCUUAGUGGUUGUACUAGUUUACAUUUCCAUCAGAAGUUCCAUCCAAUCUUAAUGGGACUAUUAGGCAUUAAAUAUAAGUUUUGAAAUUAGACCUGCAAAUUCCAACACUGCCUCGCACUAGCUGUAGGACUUCUGAGUAAAUCGAAUUGAACGACCCUCUCCCCCAGCAGGUGUUAUCACUUGAUACACGCGGGUAAUAAAUAUCUUGGCAAUGAGGGUUAAAAGGCACCACGUGUGGGGUCUCAGGCACACUCAGUAGUGAUUCCUUCAUUAGGGAAGGAGCUAUGAGCCCAACCCUUGAUCCAGGGCAGUGUUGAGAUCUCAGUGCCUCCCGCGGCCCUCCCUGCACUGGAGGUGGGUGAGGGUGUUGGUUCCAGACCAAAGAUCCCGCCGGGGAGGGAGCCGCUGCCUCCUCUUGCCUUCGCACCUCGGUGGCUGGGGUGACUCGUUCUCCCCGCGGCCUCUUGAGGAUGAGGUGCAGUCUCUUCCCAGGCUCCACGAGUUUUCGGUGAGUACAGUGAGGAGGCCGGGAUGGGCAGCGGGUAAGUAGGAACGGGGUGGCGCCCCACACCCUCCCCUGCUUGUUUGGGGUGCGGCGAGGGGAAGGCGCGCCGGUGCCGCGGCUUUGAGGGUCCUUGGUUCGCGGAGGGCUCUAGUCGAAAGCAGCUGGAAAGGGGAGGCAGCCGAGCCACGCUCAGGGCGGUGGGCGCCCUGGUCGCGGGGCCGCCUUGGCAGGCGCCACCCCAGCCCCGGUGCGCACCAGCGCCCCAGCG
rnacentral:lncRNA from 1 species